CCACAACUGGUAUCAGUCAUGCUUAAUGAGUUUCAGAGAGUAUGGAAUCUGCUGGAAGGAAUAAAUUUUCUGAAGGCAUUUUUCUUAGGUGUUGUGACCUGUGGCCUGCAAUCUUGAUAAGAUCGUUAGUCAGGCCUACCUGAAGAUGGAAUCUAGCCCCUAAUGUGUCACUAAUGAUGAAAUGACAUGAAGAAACUUGUUGAAUAUAGGGCUUUCAAAGAGUCGCUUUAUUCUGGUAUUCAAAAAGCUUUCUUGGUAAUUUAUUAAGUAUUCAUGUGGCUUUUCAAUGCUUUUUACAGGUCAGACAGCUUUCAUGCAGUUGACUAAAUCCUUAGAGAAACAGUCAUUAUAAUUUAUUUUUAAUUUUUAUACCCCACUUUGUUUCAAAUGAUACUUAAAGCAAGAUAGAUAUAAUCAUACUGUAACUUCAGAGAUGGGAUAUUAGGUAUUGGUUGAGUUCAUAGAACAAUGAAGUGGCAAAAAAUUGAUUUCAAACUAAAAUCUGUAUCCCUGUUCCCUGUUUUGUGCAAGACUAAAUUUAGUUCUAUAAAGUGAAAUAAUUUUGAGUGUAUAGUGUCUUUAGAAGUAGUGUUUUAGAUAACAGGAUUGUGAACUACUAUAAAUAGAAAAAUGCUAUGGGUAAGCAUCGGUACUUACUUACCAUAUUUCCCAGCAUUUGACUUUUAGAAAUAUUGGGAUUUAGAUUUUGAGUUGAUAUUUUUCAUGCUUAGUCUCUGCCUAAAGGUGAUUUUAUUUUCUGGAACAUAUAAUUAAAAGCAAUGCAUGAAUGGAAAAUAGUUUUUGUUUUCCAUUUUAACCGAAAUUUUGGGCUCUUUUUGUAUUUGGAUAAAUUGAAGGGCCAACUUUAAGAGCUGAGAUGUUGCGUGUGUCUAGUUUUACUUAGAAAGAAACUGUUGGCAUGUGUGUGAUGGAAAAGCUAAAUACCACGGCUGACAAACAACUGAAAAACAGCAUUUGAGUGACAAAUCAAAUGAAAUUUUGCAUUGUAAAAAUCCUUGAUCUGUGUGUGUCUUUGUAAAACUGAAUGCUUCCUUGAAAGAUAAUUAAAUUUCCAUUAUUC
rnacentral:lncRNA from 1 species